rnacentral:tRNA from 1 species
GGUGUAAUUUCGGGUGGCUUUUGGCAUAAUCUCACUAGCUUCAGGAGCUAGUGGGAUCACUCCCGUGCAGGUUCGAUUCCUGUCUUGG